ensembl:lncRNA
GUCCUGUCUUAUUUGCUUCCGCAUAUUAACGCUGCUGAGAGGAAGACUCGACUUUGUCGCGGUCUCACUAACAAUAUCGCCUGUUUUUCAGUUACAUUUCCGUUUGUGAAUGAUUUUAUUUUGAAAUUAGACCUUUUUUAAAGUGUUCAUCCUUAGUAAUUACUACAUUUGGAGUCAAAUUCGGCACGAUAAACACAACGAAUACCAGCACAUUUUAUAAAGGACUGUUUCCUGAUCCUGGGAGAGAAGACUACAAUGCUGGCUGUUCUGACUCACAGUCUGUCUCUCUGGCUGGGACACGGCAUCACAGUAAGGCAAGGGGCGUAACAUUUCCGUCACAGGCUUGAGGGAUUCAGCCAAUCACAAUGCACUGGAUAGCUGGCCAAUCAGAGCACACCUCGCUUUUCAGAACGAUGAGCAUUUAAAAAACGACGCGUUUCAGAAAGGCAAGGCAAGGCAAUACAUUUCAUUACACCAAAUACACAAAAUAAUGUUCUUUUUAGCAACAUCAUAUGACCCCUUUAAAUGAACACACUAGAUGGCUG